rnacentral:rRNA from 1 species
AUGGAGAAGACACAGAAGAGGGUGGCCAUCGUCGGCGCCGGCGCGAGCGGCCUGGCGGCGUGCAAGCACGCCCUGGAGCGCGGCCUCCGGCCGGUCGUCUUCGAGUACUCGGACGCCAUCGGCGGCGUGUGGGCGCGCGCGCUGGCGUCGACGCGCCUACAGACGCCGCGCACGCUCUACGAGUUCUCCGACUUCCCCUGGCCGCCGGAGGUCGCCGAGGUGUUCCCGGACCACGCCCAGGCCACGGCGUACCUGCGCUCCUUCGCGGCGCGGUUCGGCGUGCUGGAGCGCGUCCGGUUCGGAUGCCGCGUGACGGCGAUGGAGUACGCCGGGGUCGGCGAGGAGGAGGUCCUGGCGUGGGACCAGUGGGCCGGCGAUGGGUCGGCCUUCGGCUCCGGUAGCGGCGAGUGGCGGCUCGCCGUGCAGCAGCAGGGAGGCGGCGACGUCGAGACAUAUGUUGCGGAUUUUGUGAUCCUGUGCACCGGGAGAUUCAGCGGCAUCACGAAUAUACCCACAUUCCCUCCCGACAAAGGGCCGGAGAAAUUCGAGGGCACGGUGAUCCACUCCAUGGACUACUCCGACAUGGGCACCGCAAAGGCCACCGAGCUCAUCAGGGGCAAGCUCGUCACCGUUGUUGGCUACCAGAAGUCUGCUCUUGACAUCGCCGCAGAGUGCGCAAACACAAACGGAGCCAAGUAUCCAUGCACAAUAAUAUGUCGAACGAAGAGAUGGAUCAUACCCGACUACUACGCUUGGGGCGUUCCCAUUGCGUUCUUCUACCUCAACCGCUUCUCGGAGCUCCUAGUACACAAGCCAGGAGAGGGGCUGCUCCUCAGCAUUCUUGCUACCUUCUUAUCACCCUUGAGAUGGCUGUUCUCGAAGUUUGUCGAGAGCUACUAUAGAUGGGCAGUACCCAUGGAUAAGCACGGCAUGGUGCCCGACCACAGUUUCUUCCAGGCCAUCAGCUCUUGCUUGGUUGCCAUAUUGCCAGACAAAUUCUAUGACAUGGUUGAUCAAGGAAGCAUUGUUCUCAAGAAAGCAAAGAGCUUCAGUUUCUGCAAACAAGGUGUCAUUGUCGAAGGUGAUUCCGCACCAAUAAAGAGCGACGUGGUCAUAUUCGCCACCGGAUACAAGGGAGACCAAAAGCUAAAGGAGAUGUUCACAUCAUCCUUGUUCAGAGACAUUGUGACUGGCCCACCAUCCAGUAUUAUUCCUCUCUACAGGUUUAGCUUGCCCUUCUCUCAAACAUGCUUGUUCUGUACAUAUGCAGAAGCUCACAGUUGUUUUUGUGAACUGAGCAGGCAAUGCGUGCAUCCUAGGAUCCCACAGCUGGCGAUCAUCGGCUACUCUGAGAGCAUAGCAAACCUGCACACAUUCGACAUGCGCUCCAAAUGGUUGGCGCAUUUCCUUGACGGGGUAUUUCAGUUGCCUAGCAUAAAGUCUAUGGAGAUGGAUAUAAAGGAAUGGGAUGAAUACAUGAAGAGGUACUCUCGCGAAUACUUCCGUCGAUCUUGCGUUGGAGCUCUCCACAUCUGGUACAAUGACCAGUUGUGCCAGGACAUGGGGUGUGAACCCAGGAGGAAGAAAGGGUUCUUUGCAGAUUGGCUGUUGCCAUAUCUUCCAUCAGAUUACAAGGAUAUCAACCUGAAGAAGUGA